rnacentral:rRNA from 1 species
GAUGAACGCUGGCGGCGUGCCUAAUACAUGCAAGUCGAGCGAAUGGAUUAAGAGCUUGCUCUUAUGAAGUUAGCGGCGGACGGGUGAGUAACACGUGGGUAACCUGCCCAUAAGACUGGGAUAACUCCGGGAAACCGGGGCUAAUACCGGAUAACAUUUUGAACCGCAUGGUUCGAAAUUGAAAGGCGGCUUCGGCUGUCACUUAUGGAUGGACCCGCGUCGCAUUAGCUAGUUGGUGAGGUAACGGCUCACCAAGGCAACGAUGCGUAGCCCGCCUGGGAGGGUGGUCGGCCACGCUGGGACUGAGCCACGGCCCAGACUCCUACGGGAGGCAGCAGUAGGGAAUCUUCCGCAAUGGACGAAAGUCUGACGGAGCAACGCCGCGUGAGUGAUGAAGGCUUUCGGGUCGUAAAACUCUGUUGUUAGGGAAGAACAAGUGCUAGUUGAAUAAGCUGGCACCUUGACGGUACCUAACCAGAAAGCCACGGCUAACUACGUGCCAGCCGCCGCAGUAA